rnacentral:rRNA from 1 species
AAUGAACUUCACCAGCCCGCCAGAUUAUUACAAGCGAAAGCCUAAAACUCAAAGGACUUGACGGUGUCCCACAUUCAACCUAGAGGAGCCUGUCCUAUAAUCGAUGAUCCACGAUUCACCUCACCAUUUUUUGCCAAACAGCCUAUAUACCGCCGUCACAAGUUCACCUUUUGAAAGGAAAAGAGUGAACAAAAUARCCCAGUGCUAGUAUGUCAGGUCAAGGUGUAGCUAAUAAACUGGUUUGAGAUGGGCUACAUUUCCUUUGUAAAGGAAACACGAACGGUCUUAUGAAAACCCACCAGAAGGAGGAUUUAGUAGUAAAGUGGGAUUAGCAAGCCUGCUUGAAUAYACUGCCCUGGGACRCGUACACACCGCCCGUCACCCUCA